rnacentral:lncRNA from 1 species
UAUGUGGAUUUCCUAAAUUCUGCAAAAAAGGUUUGGAAGCUGAUCAAUCAAUACUGGAACUCCCUCUUCUCCAGAAGAGACAUCCUGGCCUCCAUGCAGAGGAAUGUGUGGAUGGACAUAUAUUUAAGGAAGACACUAAACCAGAAAAUACUACAUUACACCCUCUUAAAAGACUUCUAAGAUUGUUGUCAUGCCUACCACUGACAUUCAGAUGAUGUGUAUUGUUGAUUGUGAUUUCAUGUUUGGACCUGAUGAAGGAACCCAGGAGAUGAACAUAUGCCUGAGAAGAAGAACUAGUGUGGAACUGUCAGCCAGGUUUUUGAUGAGUGCUCAGACUGCUUCCUGAUCCAGCAACCACAUUUACUACAGUGGACAGAUGCUCUAGUCUCUGAUGAGGAGUUGCUAGCUGUUAGGAAGAACCUGAAAUGGGCUCCACUGCAUGAGGUUUGAAGUCUCCAGAGCAGCAAAGAGAGUGGGGAGUAGAACUCAUCAUCUUUAGGUCACUCAUCAUCGAUUGAUUGUUUCCAACCUUAGUAUACAGACAUGGAUGGUUGAACACAAACCUGUCAGGCUGAUAAAGAACUAGACAUCUACUAACGUCCUUGGAACCAUGUUCAGAUUGCUGCACAUCCUCCUGAAGAUGCCACGGAUGACAUGGUUCCUUGUGAUUGUUGUUCUCUUCUUGUUGUUGCUCUUUUCUUUUAACUUUUGAAGAGGAUACUUUAUUAGUCUGUUGCUAUGUUAGUCAUCUCCUGGCAUUAGAAACCAACAUCCCACUGUUUAAAUGUUUUACAUUUCCUACUCUUUUUGGAAAACACAAUGUAUGCGCAUCAUUUUUCCUAUUGUUUCAAAGACAUACCACUAUGUAAUUCAACUUUACAAUUGUAAUCAUUUUGACCAAUAUUCACAUGAAUAUAAAUUUUAUGUGUAAACUU